UGGGGAAUAUUGGACAAUGGGCGAAAGCCUGAUCCAGCAAUGCCGCGUGUGUGAAGAAGGCCUUAGGGUUGUAAAGCACUUUCAGUAGGGAAGAAAAGCAGAGGGCCAAUACCCCUCUGUCAUGACGUUACCUACAGAAGAAGCACCGGCUAACUCCGUGCCAGCAGCCGCGGUAAUACGGAGGGUGCGAGCGUUAAUCGGAAUCACUGGGCGUAAAGGGCGCGUAGGCGGUCUGAUAAGUCGGGUGUGAAAGCCCCAGGCUCAACCUGGGAAUUGCAUUCGAUACUGUCAGGCUUGAGUGUGGUAGAGGGAAGCGGAAUUCCGGGUGUAGCGGUGAAAUGCGUAGAUAUCCGGAGGAACAUCAGUGGCGAAGGCGGCUUCCUGGACCAACACUGACGCUGAGGCGCGAAAGCGUGGGGAGCAAACAGGAUUAGAUACCCCCGUAGUCC
rnacentral:rRNA from 1 species